rnacentral:rRNA from 1 species
AUUGAACGCUGGCGGUAUGCUUAACACAUGCAAGUCGAACGAUGAGAAAGAGCUUGCUCUUUCGAUUAAUGGCGGACGGGUGCGUAACGCGUAGGAAUCUACCUAUUAGUGGGGGACAACUUAGGGAAACUUAAGCUAAUACCGCAUACGCCCUACGGGGGAAAGAAGGGGAUCGCAAGACCUUUUGCUAAUAGAUGAGCCUGCGUAGGAUUAGCUAGUUGGUGGGGUAAAAGCUCACCAAGGCGACGAUCCUUAACUGGUUUGAGAGAAUGAUCAGUCACACUGGAACUGAGACACGGUCCAGACUCCUACGGGAGGCAGCAGUGGGGAAUAUUGGACAAUGGGCGAAAGCCUGAUCCAGCAAUACCGCGUGUGUGAGGAAGGCCUUAGGGUUGUAAAGCACUUUCAAUUGGAAGGAAAACCUCGAAGCUAAUACCUUCGAGUUUGACAUUACCUUUAGAAGAAGCACCGGCUAACUCCGUGCCAGCAGCCGCGGUAA